rnacentral:rRNA from 1 species
AGAGUUUGAUCCUGGCUCAGAUUGAACGCUGGCGGCAGGCCUAACACAUGCAAGUCGAGCGGUAACAGGCCCUCCGGGGUGCUGACGAGCGGCGGACGGGUGAGUAAUGCAUGGGAACUUACCCAGUAGUGGGGGAUAGCCCGGGGAAACCCGGAUUAAUACCGCAUACGCCCUGAGGGGGAAAGCGGGCUCCGGCUCGCGCUAUUGGAUGGGCCCAUGUCGGAUUAGUUUGUUGGUGAGGUAACGGCUUACCAAGGCGACGAUCCGUAGCUGGUCUGAGAGGAUGAUCAGCCACACCGGGACUGAUACACGGCCCGGACUCCUACGGGAGGCAGCAGUGGGGAAUAUUGGACAAUGGGGGCAACCCUGAUCCAGCCAUGCCGCGUGUGUGAAGAAGGCCUUUGGGUUGUAAAGCACUUUCAGCAGGGAGGAAAAGCUGGUCGCUAAUACCGGCCAGUGUUGACGUUACCUGCAGAAGAAGCACCGGCUAACUCCGUGCCAGCAGCCGCGGUAAUACGGAGGGUGCAAGCGUUAAUCGGAAUUACUGGGCGUAAAGGGCCGCGUAUGCGGUCUGAUAAGCGGGUUGUGAAAGCCCCGGGCUCAACCUGGGAAUUGCAAUCCGAACUAUCA